GAUGGACGCUAGCGGGAGGCCUAACACAUGCAAGCCGAGCGGUAUUGUUUCUUCGGAAAUGAGAGAGCGGCGUACGGGUGCGGAACACGUGUGCAACCUGCCUUUAUCUGGGGGAUAGCCUUUCGAAAGGAAGAUUAAUACUCCAUAAUAUAUUGAAUGGCAUCGUUUAAUAUUGAAAGCUCCGGCGGAUAGAGAUGGGCACGCGCAAGAUUAGCUAGUUGGUGAGGUAACGGCUCACCAAGGCGAUGAUCUUUAGGGGGCCUGAGAGGGUGAUCCCCCACACUGGUACUGAGACACGGACCAGACUCCUACGGGGGGCAGCAGUGAGGAAUAUUAGUCAAUGGGUGCAAGCCUGAACCAGCCAUCCCGCGUGAAGGACGACUGCCCUAUGGGUUGUAAACUUCUUUUGUAUAGGGAUAAACCUACCCUCGUGAGGGUAGCUGAAGGUACUAUACGAAUAAGCACCGGCUAACUCCGUGCCAGCAGCCGCCGUAAUAC
rnacentral:rRNA from 1 species